GGAAUAUUGGUCAAUGGGCGCAAGCCUGAACCAGCCAUCCCGCGUGAAGGAAGAAGGCGCUAUGCGUUGUAAACUUCUUUUCCAGGGGGAGAGUUUUUCCGUCGAGUCGCGAAUUGACGGUACUCUGGCUAUAAGCAUCGGCUAACUCCGUGCCAGCAGCCGCGGUAAUGCGAAGGCUGCGAGCGUUAGCGGGAUUCAUUGGGAUUAAAGGGUGCGUAGGCGGAUUGAUAAGUCAGUGGUGAAAGGCUGCAGCUUAACUGUAGACUUGCCGUGGAUACUGUCAGGCUAGAGUAUGGGAGAGGCAGGCGGAAUGUGUAGUGUAGCGGUGAAAUGCUUAGAUAUUUCACAGAACACCGAUUGCGAAGGCAGCUUGCUGGGCCAUCACUGACGCUCAGGCACGAAAGCGUGGGGA
rnacentral:rRNA from 1 species